rnacentral:rRNA from 1 species
AUUGAACGCUGGCGGCAUGCCUUACACAUGCAAGUCGAACGGCAGCACGGGUGCUUGCCCCUGGUGGCGAGUGGCGAACGGGUGAGUAAUACAUCGGAACAUGUCCUGUAGUGGGGGAUAGCCCGGCGAAAGCCGGAUUAAUACCGCAUACGAUCUACGGAUGAAAGCGGGGGACCUUCGGGCCUCGCGCUAUCGGGUUGGCCGAUGGCUGAUUAGCUAGUUGGUGGGGUAAAGGCCUACCAAGGCGACGAUCAGCAGCUGGUCUGAGAGGACGACCAGCCACACUGGGACUGAGACACGGCCCAGACUCCUACGGGAGGCAGCAGUGGGGAAUUUUGGACAAUGGGCGAAAGCCUGAUCCAGCAAUGCCGCGUGUGUGAAGAAGGCCUUCGGGUUGUAAAGCACUUUUGUCCGGAAAGAAAUCCUUGGCCCUAAUACGGUCGGGGGAUGACGGUACCGGAAGAAUAAGCACCGGCUAACUACGUG